AGGGUUUUAGGGCUAUUAGUUAGAAGGACGCUGCCUUCGGGAGACAGGGGCCGGAGGUUCAAAUCCUCUCACCCCGACCA
rnacentral:tRNA from 1 species